UACGGGAGGCAGCAGUUAGGAAUCUUCGGCAAUGGGGGAAACCCUGACCGAGCGACACUGCUUGGAGGAUGAAGGUUUUCGGAUCGUAAACUCCUGAACGAGGGACGAAAAAUGACGGUACCUCGCUAAUAGCACCGGCUAACUCCGUGCCAGCAGCCGCGGUAAUACGGAGGGUGCAAGCGUUAUCCGGAAUCACUGGGCGUAAAGGGCGCGUAGGCGGUUUGUUAAGUCCGAUGUUAAAGACCGAGGCUCAACCUCGACACGGCGUUGGAUACUGGCAAGCUGGACGGUUGGAGAGGAAGGUAGAAUUACCAGUGUAGCGGUGGAAUGCGUAGAUACUGGUAGGAAUACCCAUUGCGAAGGCAGCCUUCUGGACAACACGUGACGCUGAGGCGCGAAAGUGUGGGGAGCAAACCGGAUUAGAUACCCGGGUAGUCCACACCCUAAACGAUGCAUACUUGGUGUCGGCCCGUUGGGGUCGGUGCCGGANNAACGNNNAAGUAUGC
rnacentral:rRNA from 1 species